GAUGUUUAUGCAUCUAGGGAACCAUGGAGAUUUUACCAUGUGAUAUUUCCUCAAGCAAACUAAGUUAUUUUGCAAUUUGCUGCUCAAGUUGUGGCUCUUCUGCAGGUAUGUCAUUGUGGUCCUUUCCACUAUAUUUAUUUGACGUAUAUGCUUCCAGACAAUAACUUAGGUUUUGUACUACAUGGUAAAUGAAAUGAAAUUUCUAAUAUGCUAGAACGUACAAUGGUAAUUGUUAGUUUCAUUAGUAUUUCUCGGCAAACCCUCGUUCUUUCUUGGUCUGCUGAAAAUAAUUGUUAUCAGUUUUUCUUUACAUUGUCUAUAGAGAAAGUGAUGUUUUUAAGAGAUAUUUUUGUAACAUGAGCAAUGGUGCUUACUUCUUAUAUCCCAUAUAUUGUUGAAUUAUGUGCUUAUGAGGCAAAACGGUCAUGGCGGUCCUGCACAAGUGGAUGAAUGACUGGAAGGGGCGGCACCACGACGGUUAAGGUGGUUUAUACCCAGCCGGGGAGGACGACCCCCUGCAAUGGGCACGGAAAGAUGUUGCAGCAGCGAACGAGGAGGCGGAGAUGCGCAAAGCAGAGUAGGAAAAACGUGCUCUGGUCCUCCUCCAAGCCCGCCGGCGACUCCCUAACAUGGCAAUGAUUGAGGAUUGACGGAUAUAUUGAGAUCAACUUUUCGAUGCAAUUUGGAUGAUCAAAUCACACUACUAUCUGAGCAUAUAUGAGAUGUUCGCACAGCUAUAUUUUUAAAUGUUCAUAAGGUUUGUGAACAUACAAUUUACUACAUGAAGGAUGUGCCUGGCUUCCAUGUUGAAGUAGUAGGACUACUUCCACAUAUGCGAGAGAAGAACUAUGAUCGGAGGUACUAUGUAUGCUUGAUCCAAUUUAGACAUCAACAAUUAUGUAUCUAAAAGCUGGAGUGCUCCUUGAACAUUGUACUGUAUAUAUGAUUGAAAUGAGUUGCAUGUUGUCGGUGACGACGAGUUGAACCAAUGGAAGCGGCUGUAAUGGUAAGAUAGAGAAGAUGGCCGUGGGAGAAAAAGAGGACGGCAGUAGUGGUAAAGAAGAGAAGAUCAUUGAUGUAAAAGGAGGACAUGUGUUGGACCUAGCAUGUCUAAAUACAAGCAUGUGGUCAUAAGUAUUUUCUUUUCCUUACAAACGAGAGUUGGUUAUUUGGCUUCACAACCUCCAUAUUUCAAUUUGGCAUGCAACGACA